rnacentral:lncRNA from 1 species
UUAUAACUAGUGUAAUAAAUGUAACCCAAGCUCACUAUAUGCAGCAGCUUGUUGAUCCAAAAAGCUACCAUCAACAAUAAUUCAGUGAGAUGCGGCACGCCGGAAGGUUCCUAAAGUACAUAUUACACAUACUGCACACUGCUUUAAUUUACACAGCCUCUAAGAAUAAUGAUGCACUAGCAGUAGGGAUGAAAAUGGAGUGG